rnacentral:misc_RNA from 1 species
GAUGAAGAACGUAGCGAAAUGCGAUAAGUAAUGUGAAUUGCAGAAUUCAGUGAAUCAUCGAAUCUUUGAACGCACCUUGCGCCUUUUGGUAUUCCGAAAGGCACACCUGUUUGAGCGUCAUGAAUACCUCAAUCUCCAUCUUUUCUUCGGAUUGAUGGGUGACUUGGAUGUUGAGCCCUGCUGGUAUGCUAUAUCAGCUGGCUUUAAACUUAUUAGCCGGCUCUGUACUGGAUCGGUUUGACUCGACGUGAUAAUAUUAUCGUUGAGGAUGCAUGUCUCAUGCAGCCGGAAAGUAUCAAAGCAGCUUCUAGCUAGCCUUUAGUGCACUUUUACAUUUUAGACCUCAGAUCAGGUGGGACUACCCGCUGAACUUAAGCAUACCAAUAAGCGGAGGA